rnacentral:rRNA from 1 species
UAUNGCACAAUGGGGGGAAACCCUGAUGCAGNGACGCCGCGUGAGUGAAGAAGUAUCUCGGUACGUAAAGCACUAUCAGCAGGGAAGAAAAUGACGGUACCUGAUUAAGAAGCACCGGCUAACUACGUGCCAGCAGCCGCGGUAAUACGUAGGGGGCAAGCGUUAUCCGGAUUUACUGGGUGUAAAGGGAGCGUAGACGGCAGCGCAAGUCUGGAGUGAAAUGCCGGGGCCCAACCCCGGAACUGCUUUGGAAACUGUGCAGCUCGAGUGCAGGAGAGGUAAGCGGAAUUCCUAGUGUAGCGGUGAAAUGCGUAGAUAUUAGGAGGAACACUAGUGGCGAAGGCGGCUUACUGGACUGUAACUGACGUUGAGGCUCGAAAGCGUGGGGAGCA